AACGAACGCUGGCGGCAUGCCUAACACAUGCAAGUCGAACGAGACCUUCGGGUCUAGUGGCGCACGGGUGCGUAACACGUGGGAAUUUGCCUCGGGGUAUGGAAUAACUCAGGGAAACUUGAGCUAAUACCAUAUAAUGUCUUCGGACCAAAGAUUUAUCGCCCUGAGAUAAGCCCGCGUAGGAUUAGCUAGUUGGUGAGGUAAAGGCUCACCAAGGCGACGAUCCUUAGCUGGUCUGAGAGGAUGAUCAGCCACACUGGGACUGAGACACGGCCCAGACUCCUACGGGAGGCAGCAG
rnacentral:rRNA from 1 species